rnacentral:lncRNA from 1 species
GCCCCCAUUGGCCGCGCCCGCGCGAGCGAGCGACGCCGACGUGCCGGGAGCCAAUGGGCGUGCGGCUCGCGAGCCCGUCAGCGAGCGCGGCUCGGGCCCCGCUGCUCUUUUGAGAACCCGCGCAUCCCUUUGCCUGCAGCCCAAAGCUGAACGCCCAGUCCCACAGUGGUCGCGGUGUCCACAAUCACGCGUGAGGGCAAAGGGGGAGAGGGCAAGAGAGACGGCAACCAAGGGGGUAAAGGAAAAAAGACAAAAGCGAGAGCAUAGUAGCGAUUUGCCCGUUUUCUUAAAAAGUCAGAGGAGGGAAGGGAAAGAGGAGAGAAGAGAAAAGGAAUCUGGCCGGCUUACCUUUAGACUCCAGCGCGGCCGCCCUCCCAGCAUCCCCAAACGCGCUUGACUAGUCCGAGGACACUGAGAGCAGAGGAAGGGUUUCCCCGAAGAUCCCACGGCAAAGUGUGUAACGCCAGCAGCCGGAGCUCCGGGUGGGCGGGCGGACUCCGAGCUCUGAUUUCUCCCCCAAAGAACCCAGGCGCCUGGGCUCUGGCCCAGCUGGGUAGCCGGUCCCUGAGGAGGACGGAGUGGGAUCUGCGUCCACCCGGCACUCUCAGGAGGGAUGGGGGCAAGGGGCCUGCUGCUCAAAACUGAGGACCCAGCCUGGUCACCAGGCAGGGCCGGUGCUGGAAGAAGUGCCCGGCCAGACACUUUCUCCUGGGCAGGGGAAGUGAUGCCCGCAGGCGUUCCCUAGUGGCGAGGGCAGCCGCGGUUCUCCGCAAUGUCGGGCUGGCACUGGGCGCGGGAACCCGGGUGGCAGGUCCGUAGCGCGUAUUCCUGCCUCGCUGCCAGCCAGUUCUCAAUCUCUCCCUAUCUCUGUCUCUCUCUUCCUCCCUCCCUCUCUCCGGCCGCUCCUUUGGAAAGGAAAUAGUCACUGUGGAUCCACUUGGGACCUGGAGCAUAGCAUGACUGUGACGCCUCGUCGGAGGGUAUUUGAAACCCGCUCUCCAUCACCAGGACGAUUUGUCACCACAACACCAGACAAUUAUCAUUGGACAGACUGCAUUUACCAGCUAUCCUUUCCUGCCUUUAUGCCCUACUUUGCAAAAAUCUUUCACUUAAAGCGCCUCCCAGUGCUUUAUUCUAUCAUCAAAAUUCUGUACUUGCUUCAAGGCCCUGCUCAAUUCAUCUCCUCCAAGAAACCUCCUCCAGAUCCAUCUACCCCACUGAUGGCUUCCUUAUUCCAAAUUCCUUACAAUGAUAAUAAUAACGGCAUUUCUUUAAAAUUAUGUAAUUGUUUACUUAAAUAAGUAAUAUCAUAUGGCCCAACAUUUAAAUGUACACAGAAUGUACAAACACUCAAAGUGAAAAGUAGGUCUUCUUGUUCCAGCUCCCCGGAUCCUGAGCUUUCCAGAGGUAUCUUAACAUAUAUAUGUGCUUUUUAAAAGUCCAUCAACAAUAUAUAUGAAUAAUUGUUAGCAUAUAUUAGAAGUCAUGUAAUACUAUGCUAAGCACUUUAUAUGAAUAAUUUCAUUGAACCCUCCCAACAAUUUUAUCAGAUGGGUACUCAUAUUAUAUAUGUUUUACAAAUGUGGAAAUAUAGGCUCAGAAAAGUAACUUACCCAUGAUCACACAGUUAUAACGCAGCAGAACUGGAUUUUUAACUCAUGCUGUCCAACUAUAGAGGGCAAUCUCUUAACCACCAUGCUCUGCCUUAAAAUGAUUCUCUGGUUGUCAAAUAUAUAUAUCUGUAUAAAUGUCAUAUCUAUCUAUCUAUUUAUCUAUAUCUAUAUCUACAUAUAUAUCUGGUUUCCCAGCUGGAUUAAAAGUUACUUAGGAAGAAGAGAAGCCAUGCAGUAUGGCUGAAAGAACA